rnacentral:rRNA from 1 species
AGGUCCCAAGGGUAUGGCUGUUCGCCAUUUAAAGUGGUACGUGAGCUGGGUUCAGAACGUCGCGAGACAGUUCGGUCCCUAUCUGCCGUAGGUGUAGGAGAAUUGAGAGGAUCUGUCCUUAGUACGAGAGGACCGGGAUGGACGUACCUCUGGUGUACCAGUUGUGGCGCCUGCUGCAGCGCUGGGUAGCUAUGUACGGACGGGAUAACCGCUGAAAGCAUCUAAGCGGGAAACCCACCUCAAAACGAGUUCUCCCUCGAGAGUCGUGGAAGACCACCACGUUGAUAGGCCGGGUGUGGAAGCGCUGCAAGGCGUGUAGCUUACCGGUACUAAUAACUCGAUUGGCUUGAUUGC